AAACGACGAUCUUGCGGUACGUCAUUAUCUUCCCGCACAAAAGAGCUUUACAACCCUAGGGCCUUCAUCACUCACGCGGCAUGGCUGGAUCAGGCUUGCGCCCAUUGUCCAAUAUUCCCCACUGCUGCCUCCCGUAGGAGUCCCCCCGUGCCCCCGCCCCGCCCGCCGCGCGCGGCGGGCGAGGGGGGG
rnacentral:rRNA from 1 species